rnacentral:rRNA from 1 species
AACGAACGCUGGCGGCAGGCUUAACACAUGCAAGUCGAACGCUCGUAGCAAUACGGGAGUGGCGGACGGGUGAGUAACGCGUGGGAACGUGCCCUGAGGUACGGAAUAACUGCGGGAAACUGCAGCUAAUACCGUAUGAGCCCCUAACGGGGGAAAGAUUUAUCGCCUUGGGAGCGGCCCGCGUCGGAUUAGCUAGUUGGUGGGGUAACGGCCUACCAAGGCUUCGAUCCAUAGCUGGUCUGAGAGGACGAUCAGCCACACUGGGACUGAGACACGGCCCAGACUCCUACGGGAGGCAGCAGUGGGGAAUCUUGCGCAAUGGGGGCAACCCUGACGCAGCCAUGCCGCGUGAAUGAUGAAGGCCUUAGGGUUGUAAAGUUCUUUUACCCGUGACGAUGGUGACGGUAACGGGGGAAUAAGCUCCGGCUAACUUCGUGCCAGCCGCCGCUGUAACAC